CAGUAGCCGCGGGAAUACGAGGGGGGCAAGCGUUGUUCGGAUUUAUUGGGCGUAAAGGGUGCGUAGGCGGUUUGGCAAGUCUUGUGUGAAAUCUUCGGGCUCAACCCGAAGCCUGCACGAGAAACUACUGGGCUUGAGUAUUGGAGAGGUGAGUGGAAUUUCCGGUGUAGCGGUGAAAUGCGUAGAUAUCGGAAGGAACACCUGUGGCGAGAGCGGCUCACUGGACAAUAACUGACGCUGAUGCACGAAAGCUAGGGGAGCAAACAGGAUUAGAUACCCCAGUAGUCCCUGUCUCUUAUAA
rnacentral:rRNA from 1 species